CCUACGGGUGGCUGCAGUAGGGAAUCUUUCACAAUGGGCGAAAGCCUGAUGGAGCAACGCCGCGUGCAGGAUGAAGGCCUUCGGGUUGUAAACUGCUUUUAUAAGCGAGAAAUAUGAUGGUAACUUAUGAAUAAGGAUUGGUUAACUACGUGCCAGCAGCCGCGGGCAUACGUAGGAGCCGAGCAUUAUCCGGAGUGACUUGGUGUAAAGAGUUGCGUAGGUGGCAUAAUAAGUAGCUAGGGAAAUCUGGUCGCUCAACCAUUCAGACUGUUAGCUAAACUGUUAAGCUCGAGACCGUUAGGGGUAACUGGAAUUUCUAGUGUAGGAGUGAAAUCCGUAGAUAGUAGAAAGAACACCGAUAGCGUAGGCAGGUUACUGGGACGGUUCUGACACUAAGGCACGAAAGCGUAGGGAGCAAACGGGAUUAGAUACCCUGGUAGUC
rnacentral:rRNA from 1 species